UCCAUGUUGUCAUAGCUGAACAGGAUCCAUCGCCAGUGAUCACUGCAAUCAGUGAGUUGAAGAACAUUUGAACGAUCGCAAGUCGCUUGGAAAUUUGAAGAAGAAUUAUUUGCACUACAGUGCCAAAGUAGUACGUGCGUUUCAGCAGAACAACUGCGCCCCCUGCUGAAAUGGGUGUGAAGAUGCUGCUGUGCUUCCCUUUCUACAGACGCUGCAAGGAGAGGUGCAAAAGACAGUGCCCUCCAGAGACUGCAGUAGCAAGUGAAGAGUUGAAACCUCGGCUGUCCUCCACUGCGUCCUGGGGCAGUGAAGGGGACAGUGGCAGUAGUACGAGAUGCCCACAGGCCUAUUUUUCCCACAAGGCUCGGCUUUCCCUCCGACACCAGAUGGACAGCAACAUCAACGCAGUGGAUGCCACAUACUAACUCUGUCCCGCAAGCAGUCUCUUGAGAAUCCUUGAAAGUGAACUUUAGCCUUUCAGCCCCAAACCAGUUUACAUCCCUUGGUUGGGCGCCUUAGAGGGCAGCUGGAGGAUGAGGCGUUGGGAAGAUGGAAGGAGCAGCAUGAAAAAGAACUAUUCAAAUUUGUGCACUAAAUUUCACCUCGACGGGCACCCGUGAGUGACUUUGCAAUGUCAAUAUAAGUGCAUACAUUUCUCUAACACGGUACAGGUGAGUGUCAUUUGGUGAAAGGGGAAAUGAUGAAACCCUCUAGUGAGACAUUUACAUGAUCACAAAGUGCUUUUUUUGUAGCCUGUAGUAUUUGUCCUCUGCAGUCUGUUUUUUACAUGUAUCUGUAGCAUCUGUGAUUCUGAUUUUAACUGAUCUGGAUGCUUCUGGUUAGUGUAAUCUGAGCAAUGCAAUUAAGUAUUUUGAGCUAGAGAACAAAUAGUUCAAAAGUUCACACUACAUAUGCCUCACUAGACAUACAUUUAGUGGAUACUAUGAAAGCAACUGAAUAUGUUGACGUAAACAGAAAGGAGAAUUUUAAAACUGUUUUUUCUUUCUUUGUAAGUGCCAAUUCUUCCCCUACAAGCUGUAAAAGGUACAUUAACAAGCAUUUAGUGCACAGCUAGAACAUAAUUUCAAGUUCAGUUUGAUUAUAUAUGAUUUCAGUGCCUUCUGAAACACAUUAUGUCCCAGAAAGGUUUAUGAAGCAAUUCUAAAAAGAUUGUAGUUUCAUGUGAAUGAUGUACGAUUUUAUGAUCUCACCAUUUAAUGUACUGAAUGUAUUAAACAAGAAAGAAAGAAAAUGGCGAUGUUCAUCAUGAUCCACUCUAUGUUUCUGUUGCAACAAAUGUCUGUAAAAACAGGGUUCACAUGUGCUAACAAUGUUUGUGCAUCUGGCCAUCUUGACUUUGUCUUUGUGCAUGUAUACAGGAACAACAUUUGAGGUUUCUAAAAGUUAUAUACGUUUCUUUUUACACCUAAACUUCAAAAAGAACAGAUACUUCACAAAACACUGUUACACG